rnacentral:rRNA from 1 species
GACGAACGCUGGCGGCGUGCCUAACACAUGCAAGUCGAGCGGAGAUUCAAGGAGCAGCUUGCUGCACUUUGAAUCUUAGCGGCGGACGGGUGAGUAACGCGUGGGUAAUCUGCCUCAAACAGGGGGAUAACACAGGGAAACUUGUGCUAAUACCGCAUAAGACCCCAUCAUGGCAUCAUGAAGAGGUCAAAGGAAGAAAUUCCGGUUUGAGAUGAGCCCGCGUCUGAUUAGCUAGUUGGUGAGGUAACAGCUCACCAAGGCGACGAUCAGUAGCCGAACUGAGAGGUUGAUCGGCCACAUUGGGACUGAGACACGGCCCAGACUCCUACGGGAGGCAGCAGUGGGGAAUAUUGCACAAUGGGGGGAACCCUGAUGCAGCGACGCCGCGUGAAGGAAGAAGGCCUUCGGGUUGUAAACUUCUUUGACCAGGGACGAAUAAAUGACGGUACCUGGAGAACAAGCCACGGCUAACUACGUG